CGGGGCGUAGUAUAGUGGUAGUAUAUAUGCUUUGGGAGCAUAAGGUUCGAGUUCGAUUCUCGGCGCCCCGA
rnacentral:tRNA from 3 species